rnacentral:rRNA from 1 species
UACGUAGGGUGCAAGCGUUGUCCGGAAUUAUUGGGCGUAAAGAGCUCGUAGGCGGUCUGUCACGUCGGCUGUGAAAACCCGGGGCUCAACCCCAAGCCUGCAGUCGAUACGGACAAACUAGAGUGCGGUAGGGGAGACUAGAAUUCCUGGUGUAGCGGUGAAAUGCGCAGAUAUCAGGAGGAACACCGGUGGCGAAGGCGGAUCUCUGGGCCGUAACUGACGCUGAGGAGCGAAAGCGUGGGGAACGAACAGG